rnacentral:antisense_RNA from 1 species
GGAGGCCGAGGCUGUAGGUGGGCUCCGCUGGGUAAAAGUUGCCGCAGCAGCUGUCCCUUGGCCCCAUCCCGAUUUAUCUUUCCCCCUUGCUUUCCGGGUCCCGGGAUCCCAAGUUUUGUAACUAACGGGAGCGAAUCCACACCCGAGCAAAAUGUUUGCGAGUUUCAGGCGCCCUUAGUUGAAAGGCUGUAACGUAAUUAACAAGUCCGCUGUUUGCCAGCCAGGCGCCGUUGCAGGCGCUUUCUGUGGAUUGUCAUUUAUUUCUCACAGCAACUCUAGGAGAUGAAAUUGAAUCAUGGAAGAAUGCCUUUAUCUGAGGAGUCAUCACCACUAGGGAGCUAUGGAGGCUGUUAUCCUUGACAUCUGCAGCAGCCCUUCCAAGCUGUGGAGACCAGGUCAUCUGGAAUGCCCAUUUAUGUCAAUGGAAGAAAGAAAAAGGGGUCUCCUCCCAUCCUCACCACUGCAUUCUUUCUCCCACCAACCCUGCUCCUGUCCCACUUCCCACAACUCAGUUGUUGACAAUUGAACAGUGGGUUUCUGGAAACAGUGCUGCCUCCUUGAUGGUCUAACUACCAGAGUUAUUCUAACGGCAGGAAUUUCAAGCCAGGUAAGGGGAGCCAUGUCAGGCUGCCAGAUGGUGGGGAAGACAGGUGUGGGUGAGCUGGCUUCAGACUAAAGGAAGAGGGGAUCAAGUGUUGGGAUCCCAUUUGAGAAAAGGAGUCAAGUGAACUUCAUUACCCAUUAUAGAGGCCUGUUAUAUCCUUUAGUGCUAUUUGAACUUGGAUUGAACCUGUGACAAAUCCUUUUCUUAUGCUUCUUCCAUCCCUGCUUCCAUGUUAUAUCCUUUCCCCUUCUAAAAUGGUAAUAAUGAGAAAUAGCUAUUACUAAUUACCCU